GAUGAAGAACGUAGCGAAAUGCGAUACGUAAUGUGAAUUGCAGAAUUCAGUGAAUCAUCGAAUCUUUGAACGCACAUUGCGCCCGCCAGUAUUCUGGCGGGCAUGCCUGUUCGAGCGUCAUUUCAACCCUCAGGGCCCUUUUGGACCUGGCGUUGGGGCUCGGCCGCUACCCUGCGGCCGUCCCCGAAAGAUAGUGGCGGUCUCGCUGUAGCCUCCUCUGCGUAGUAGUUACAUCUCGCACUGGAACGCGGCGCGGCCAUGCCGUUAAACACCCCACUUCUCAAGGUUGACCUCGGAUCAGGUAGGAAUACCCGCUGAACUUAAGCAUAUCAAUAACGAGGA
rnacentral:misc_RNA from 1 species